GUAUCUUCUGGAAUUUUAAUAAAGUUUAUUAUAACAUUUAGCUUCUACACGAACUGCUGGUAUCUUUAGUGGCGGCAAAUAUUUCAUGACAGCUGAAUUUGUCUCGCAGCAUGCUGUCGGUGUGCGGCAACUGAGAGGUUACAGGGUGCAGUUAUUCUUGUUAUCAAGGCUGUCAGGAGCAGCACAUCAGCCAGGGGGAGGGGACCCAGACUUUUUUUUUUUUAUCAAGCCACAACACCACCACCACCUGCCAGGGAGGCUGGGUGUUCACUUGGGCCAGCACAUGACGUGGUCUUGCUAGCUUAUUGAGACGUUUCUGCUUUGAAGGAAUAAGGAGAGUGCCAGUAGCAAAGUUGUUAAGGGAAUAGUUCAUCUUUUUAGACUCUCUAAACCCAGAUUAGUUGGUCGCAGACACUGAAGAGUAGUAUUAUAGGUAAUUAAAAAGAAAGAAAAUCAAUUUUAUUUUAAAAUGUACCCUUCUUUACAUUUUUACCUCAUGGAAACACUUUUUUGUGUUCUGUUCUGAGUAUUCAAGAAGGGGGAAAUAAUGUCUUUAGAAAUAAUGGCCCAUAAUGGUAAAGAUAGUUGUAAAAUAGCCUUUGGGUAAACCGCAAUGACGUUUUAACAUCUUUGAUAGGAUUGGGAAAUAAAUCAUAAACAAUGUAAUAAACAUGAUUGAAAAUGUCCGAUAAAACUAGGCUAGUUGGAUCAACCGUUUGCUUUGGUUACCUAGCAACAGCCUUGCACCGCAGCAGCUCUAUGUUUUGCCACCUGCCUCGCCUGCUUAAAAAAAAAGAAACGGUGUGGAGUGAACGGACUAUGUCAUUGAUUUGGCAGUUUUGUAGAUAUAUUGCAGAUACAUUUCAAACAAAAAAUAAUAAUUAUCUAUUGACUGAUAUUAAGCAUAUUGUGACACGUUGUUCAGCCAGGCCAUAGCCUUAGGUGUCCUUUUCUCGAGCUAGCCGUUAGCGUCUUCACCCCAGGAGCAGCUCGUUUGGAAAUAUGGAAAGCUAUUUAUUGCAGAUAAGAACUGAACUCUACUUCAAAAACUACACGCUAUCCAUUUAAAGCCAUGUUACCCGGAGCUUCAAGUAAAAGUCUUUUCUUUCAUUUCCCCCCACAUUGCCAAACAAGCUAAGCUGGCUCAGUUUUUCCCAGCAGCGCUUUUACAUGUUUGUGCUGACAUCAGCUGCUUCACAAAACGUGUCACUUCAGAGUCCUCCUCUAAGCCCGCAGAACACAACAGAGACAAGGUGGGGAUACAUGCAAAGGAACAUGUCUGAACAUGCAUCCCAGAAAUGAUUUAAUCAGACUACAGUAUGAGGCUUUCCAAGGAAAUAUUGAAUGGCUUUAGUAGUUUAAGGUGUGGGAAGGCUGAAAACGAGAAAAUCCCAAUUACAUCACAACUAGUCGGAGCAGUCGGAUGGCUGUACUGUCUGGGAGGAUCGCUGCACUUCCCACGUUCCUCAAACCAGGAAGCAAUAAUUGCCUUUGGAUUGUAUUUCAUCAUGCAAAAAAGGGGGAUGAAUAUGAAUGUAAAUGAGUGAUAUUUGACUACGCUGGCUUUGGGAUCAGAUGACAUCACUGCAUGCAAGAGCUGAGCAAGAUUUAAGUAAACAAAAGAGGACUUAGUGGGAUUUCUAAACAUUUCUCUUUGAGGAUGUCCAGCUAAUGAAGGCGGCUGUGCUACCGCAUCUUGCGAGAGUAUUCAUACCCUGCCAAUUUUUUCAUAUUUUGUCCAAAUAUUUAAUUGACAGAGCAACAAAAAGUGUGUGGUGGAAGGAAAAUUGUGUGUUUUCUGAAUGAAAAUCUCAAAUGUGUGGUGUCCAUUUGUAUUCACUUAUGUCAUGGGAAAAAUAAUCUUCCAGUGAAACAAGUGGUUUUUCAACAAUAUGAAGGAAUUAUUGACUUCAAAUAAGCUCUUAUGCCACGCUGUGAAGUUAUUUUGCUUGAACAGUGGAUGGAGAGGAAAUAGGUUGGAGAGAGAAGAGGAAGAUAGGAAGCAAAUGGUCUCAGAACGGGAAUCGAACCCAGGACCUCCGCUUUGAGUACUGCGGCUUCUUCCUUUAGAUUUUUUUAUCGUUCAAAAUUCUUGAGUCCAAAAAAAAUGAAAUACACGGAAGGUUGCGGCAAAGCGUAAAAAAAAAAAAAAAAAGAGAGAAAUGGAUCAGUGGGUUUGAAUAUUUCCGCAAGACCCUCAUGAUGAGGGUCAUGCAAGGUAACAUGUAAAAGUGACGCUGCGCCUCAAAUAUUCAAAGCGUUUUGAUGUCGACAUGAUUCGGUGCGUUUGUGUUUGGAAGAAGACAUGUUCUCUACUAAUGUAAGGGGGAAAAAAAUACAACACAACAAUGGUUUUGAUGGAAACCAGGCCGUGUGUUAGGAGGACAUGCUGCAGGAUGCCAACACCAAAAGACAAGCUGCAUUUUAAAUAUAGCUGAAUCAUGUCACAGAUUUUCCAAACACUGGUGCUCAGCAGAAUGGAUGUCUCCGCUGCUGCUGCUGCUUGCUGGUGUUUACUGGACGUCAGUGAAGCGAGGCGGCUCUGGUCCUCCUCUCGUCCUCCUCGAGUUGUCACUGUUUAUCUCUCGCUAUCUCGCCGCGCGCUCUCCCUCUGCUCUCCCUCUCUCUCUUGUCUUUCACCCACAUUAGUUUACUUUUUCCCACUUCUCAUUUGUGGCUUUUUCUUUUUUUCUAACUGCACAUCUGCACCCCUGCCUCACCCUCUAGUUCCUCCUUUCUCGCUGUUUUUCUGUUUUCUUCUUUUCCCUUCUGGUGAAUCACAGGGCAGAAACAGAACUGGGUGUCAACUUGACGAACGAGGUCACACGCAGGCCCAGCAGACCGUGUUAAAUGCUGGGUCAUCAUAAAGCCCCCCCCACCACAUCUUCACUCUAACAUGCACAUACAAAGUAGGCACGGCCGAGUCUCACUCCCUGCACACAUCUCGCUCUGUCGUGUAACUCUGACGUCCGGUGGUUCCUCAGAAACAUCAUCGCUCCUUAUCAGCAGCUUAAGUUUAAUCACAGCAACCUGCUGGAGAUAACCUCUUGUUUCCAUGAUGUCAAACGCUUGCAUCCAAAAAAGAAAAAGAAGACACUGUUCUUUCCACAUGCAUUCUGAUGUUUGUGAGGUGAGAAACAAACUGGAGAAGUUCUGUGUCUUGAUUUGACGUAAACCAGGGCGGCAACUAACGAUUAAUUGGAUGAAAAAAUCGACACAUUCUGUGGUUUUCUUUGUAUUUCACCACAUUAACUUAUUCUCUUCUGAUAUUAGAAAUAAUAAAAAAAAUAAAAAAAAACUUUUCAAAUGCACUUUUUUACAAAUAUAAUUUUAUUUUUAAAAUAGAGUAAUAAAUGUUUAAAAAUAAAUGCUAAC